rnacentral:misc_RNA from 1 species
UCUCCGUUGGUGAACCAGCGGAGGGAUCAUUACCGAAGUUACCUUCAAAACCCACUGUGAACCUUACCUCUUGCCGCGUUGUCUCGGCGGGAGGCGGUGUGCGUCGCGCGCCCUAGCGGGCCGCGCCGCUCCCGUCCCCGCCGGCAGCGCCAAACUAUAAAUGCACAGCGGACUGUACGUUCUGAUUUACAAAAAAAACAAGUUAAAACUUUCAACAACGGAUCUCUUGGUUCUG